rnacentral:rRNA from 1 species
CAUUAAGAGAGAGAGAAAGAGUAGAUUGCAAACAGGAAGUGAGUACGUGAUAGUCCACACAAAAAAAGAUGUCGACAGCCGAAAGGGUAACAAAACGAUUGUGGGGGGCCUCGCGAUAAGUCUCACCGCCUGUGGGAGUACGGCCGCAAGUUUGAAGUCAAAAGAGUGGCGAGGAGCCGCACAAGCGGGGAGCAGGUGGUUUAAUUAGAUGCAGCGCGAAGAACCUUACCUACUCUUGACAUCCUGCGAAUUCGGUAGAGAUACCUUAGUGCCUUCGGGAACGCAGAGACAGGUGCUGCAUGGCUGUCGUCAGCUCGUGUUGUGAAAUGUUGGGUUAAGUCCCGUAACGAGCGCAACCCUUGUCCUUAUUUGCCAGCGCGUAAUGGCGGGAACUCUAAGGAGACUGCCGGUGACAAACCGGAGGAAGGUGGGGACGACGUCAAGUCAUCAUGGCCCUUACGAGUAGGGCUACACACGUGCUACAAUGGUCGGUACAAAGGGUUGCGAGCUCGCGAGAGUCAGCCAAUCCCGAAAAGCCGAUCUCAGUCCGGAUCGGAGUCUGCAACUCGACUCCGUGAAGUCGGAAUCGCUAGUAAUCGUAGAUCAGAAUGCUACGGUGAAUACGUUCCCGGGCCUUGUACACACCGCCCGUCACACCAUGGGAGUGGACUGCACCAGAAGUGGUUAGCC